rnacentral:rRNA from 1 species
CCUUCGGGGGACGAUAACGGCGUCGAGCGGCGGACGGGUGAGUAAUGCCUAGGAAAUUGCCCUGAUGUGGGGGAUAACCAUUGGAAACGAUGGCUAAUACCGCAUGAUGCCUACGGGCCAAAGAGGGGGACCUUCGGGCCUCUCGCGUCAGGAUAUGCCUAGGUGGGAUUAGCUAGUUGGUGAGGUAAGGGCUCACCAAGGCGACGAUCCCUAGCUGGUCUGAGAGGAUGAUCAGCCACACUGGAACUGAGACACGGUCCAGACUCCUACGGGAGGCAGCAGUGGGGAAUAUUGCACAAUGGGCGCAAGCCUGAUGCAGCCAUGCCGCGUGUAUGAAGAAGGCCUUCGGGUUGUAAAGUACUUUCAGUCGUGAGGAAGG